UCCAAAGAUGAACAAAACUGAAUCAAGGCA
rnacentral:piRNA from 1 species